rnacentral:rRNA from 1 species
GACGUAGGUGGCGAACGUUAUCCGGAAUUAUUGGGCGUAAAGGGUGCGUAGAUGGCUUGACAAGUUAGUGGUGGGAAAUCGAGGCUCAACCUCGUGGAAGUCACUAAUACUAUCAAACUAGAGUGCAGGAGAGGUUAAUGGAACUCCAUGUGUAGCAGUAAAAUGCGACGAUAUAUGGAUGAACACCAAUAAAGGCGAAGGCAGUUAACUAUUCUGCUACUGACAUUGAGGGCACGAAAGCGUGGGGAGCAAAACGG